UUGGUCAUUUAGAGGAAGUAAAAGUCGUAACAAGGUUUCUGUAGGUGAACCUGCGGAAGGAUCAUUAUUGAACUGUCAGCACGAGUUGUUGCUGGCCCUCAAGUGAGGGCAUGUGCACGCUCUGUUUACAAAUCCAUUCACACCUGUGCACCCUCUGUAGUUCUACGCUGUUUUCCAGCAGUAGUUCUGCGUCUUUACACACACACACACCAGUAGAGUAUAAUGGAACGUAUAUGGCGUUUAACGCAAUACAAUACAACUUUCAGCAACGGAUCUCUUGGCUCUCGCAUCGAUGAAGAACGCAGCGAAAUGCGAUAAGUAAUGUGAAUUGCAGAAUUCAGUGAAUCAUCGAAUCUUUGAACGCACCUUGCGCCCUUUGGCUAUUCCGAAGGGCAUGCCUGUUUGAGUAUCAUGAACACCUCAACCCUCAUGGUUUGCCAUGAUGGGCUUGGACUUUGGGGGUCUUGCUGGAUUGUAGUCAGCUCCCCUUAAAUGAAUCAGCUUGCCAGUGUUUGGUGGCAUCACAGGUGUGAUAACUAUCUACGCUUGUGGUUCACACCAGCUAACCUUCAGUGAUGGAGGUUCACUUGGGGCUCAUAAAGGUCUCUCCUCUGUGAGGACAGCUCUUUGAAUGUUUGAUCUCAAAUCAGGUAGGACUACCCGCUGAACUUAAGCAUAUCAU
rnacentral:rRNA from 1 species